CAGCCGCCGCGGUAAUACCGGCGGCCCGAGUGGCGGUCACUAUUAUUGGGCUUAAAGCGUCCGUAGCCGGGUUGGGAAGUCCUCCGGGAAAUCUGGCCGCUUAACGGUCAGAAUGCCGGAGGAUACUCCCAGCCUAGGGAGCGGGAGAGGCCGAGGGUAUUCCCGGAGUAGGGGUGAAAUCCGUUAAUCCCGGGAGGACCACCUGUGGCGAAGGCGCUCGGCUGGAACGCGUCCGACGGUGAGGGACGAAGGCCAGGGGAGCAAACCGGAUUAGAUACCCGGGUAGUCCUGGCUGUAAACGAUGCGGACUUUGUGUCGGACAAGCUAUGAGCUUGUCCGGUGCCGGAGGGAAACCGUUAAGUCCGCCGCCUGGGGAGUACGGCCGCAAGGCUGAAACUUAAAGGAAUUGGCGGG
rnacentral:rRNA from 1 species